AGCCCUGACCCAGAACACCACUGCACAAACGGAGGGUGCUGCGAUGGGCCCUGCUUCAACAUGGCGGCUAUCCUUACAAGAAGAGUCCAUCAGGGCACCGUCACACAGAUGGGGGGACACGUGCAGACAAGGGGCCAAGGCAGCAGGAGACAGAAACCAAUCUACUGCCACCUCCCAACCCUCCUGGCCUGGGGUGUCCCGUGACAGCUGCCUGGCUGACUAGGCCCAAGUGUGGGCUCUCCUAGAGGGUGGGUGCUCCUCCCUCCUGACCUCCUCCUGACCUAUGCCUGCUGCCCUCAGCUUUAUCUCCUUCCUCACCCUCCUCACUGCAUCCU